rnacentral:SRP_RNA from 1 species
GCUGGGUAUGGUAGCGCCUGCCUGUAAUCCCAGCUACUCAGGAGGCUGAGGUAGGAGAAUUGCUUGAACCUGGGACAUGGAGGUUGCAGUGAGCAGAGAUCGUGCCACUGCACUCCAGCCUGGGUGACAGAGUGAGACCCCAUCUCAA